AAGGACUUGAAACUGAAGGCAGAGGCUUUGAAUUCCUUGAAAUUACCAGUUACUGUCAAAGCAGGUUUUGUUGGAACCAUAACUCUUAAGGUAUUCUGAUUCUUGAUUUGUUUUAAGUUACCUUUUGGCCAUUUUCUAGCAAGUCAAUCAUCCUUUUUUUUAAACAAAUUAUUUACUUUAUGUCUUUAUGAUUUUCGUGGUUUAUAGUUCUCAUGCAUUGCUUCUUAUAGGUUGUAUCCAAAGGUUCUUCACUUGUUAUACCUAGUGUAGCUACUCAAGCAUAAACUUGUCACAAUUUUACUCUAAUUGUGAUUAUAUUGUUCCGUUGUCAUCACCUUAAUGUUAUGCUUACUAAGGUCCUUAUUUUGUUCCUGCUUUGAGCAGUGUCCAAUUGUUUUGGUCAAUGCAAAAUUCCAUGGAAAUAUUAGCAUAUGUCGAGGUAUUAGAACUAAGAAUUACUUUAUACCAUUUUUGAUAUUUUAAAAAAAUGCUCUAGCUCAUGGGGUGAGGAUUACCCAAGAUCAUAUAAGGAAAACUACAACCUAUUCCUUCCACCAAUGUGAGAAAUUUAACACUGCCUCGGCAAGCUCAUACAUGGUCGUUAGAGCGUGGAUAACAUAACAUGGAACAUUCGCUAACCAAUGGGUAUGGUUUUGAUACCAUGUUAAGAAACUAGAUCUUGAGCCUAACUUAAUCCGAAAAGCUAUCUCAUGUGGUGAGGAAUGCCCAAAACCACAUAAGAGGAUAAUAACCCCAUUCCCAAACCAAUGUGGAACAUGUAACACGAUAUAUCAAAAAGUUGGUGUGUGUAUAUAUAUUGAUAAACUAAGGUAAAAAGCUGGUAUAUCUUUUUGCUCUUUUUGUUGUUUUAUCUUUCUGAUAAGUUAAUAGUCUUCUAUAUAAGCGGAACUGCUCAUCACGUCGCUGUGCAUUGAGCUUUAAUAAAUUUACCUACUAAUGAGUUUCCUUCCUUUCCCUUCAUCUUUUUAUCAAAGGACAUUCUUUGUCUCUUUUGGCCAAGAGGCAGAUGCAAUGUAUCGGCGCUGGGUUCAACUGGACUCAUCAAUUUUGACGCGGAGCAUAAAUUUAUGUGUAAAAAUUCACUAAUAUUGCAAUACAUAGCAACAUGAACCCAUAACUUUAAAAAGAAAUGUGUUCAAUUCUAAAGACCUUAAAGGUUGAACCCAUAAAACUUAAAUCCUAGAUCCGCCUAUGUUUUUUCCCUUUUACUACCUUCUUUACCUACUAAUGAGUUUCCUUCCUUUCGCUUUAUCUUUUUAUCAAAGGACAUUCUUUGCCUCUUUUGGCCCAUACUUUCCCCUUUUAUUACCUUUUUUAUCCUUUGGUUUCAAGUAAAAUAAAACAACCUUUGAGUCUGACGCUUCAUGUACAUUGUACAAGGUAAAUUUCGCAAAAGUUUCCUUUUCCCUAUUUCGAUCUGUUUUUACAAUAUUUGCCCUCAAAUAAUCCUCUAAUCCAGCCAUCAUUUAUAUUUGCUCGAAUCUGUUAUUGCUAGUAUCC
rnacentral:lncRNA from 1 species